GUUAUAUAUAGCCUUGUUCUCAGUGUGGGGCACUCUGUGGAAUCCAUUCUGGAACAUGUGAAAUGUAAUAGACCCCGCAUCACCACACGCCGCCCCCCCUCCCCGCUCGGACAGCUGACACUGCCUCAUGCGAGAUCAGUUCUUCCUGAGUCAUGUGGGGUUAAGUUAAAGUGGCUUCCUCCUCUCUGCUCCUUCCCUUCCCCCUUCCUCCUCUCAACUCCUUUUCCUCCUUCUUCCUUCUCUCCACUCCUUCCCUUUCACCUUCCUCCUCUCCACUGCUUCCCUUCCUCCUCUUUACCUUCCCAUUCUCCUCUCCAUUCCAUCCAACUUCCUCCUCUCCACUCCUUCCCUUCCUCCAUUCUCCUCUCCACUCCUUCCCGUCCUCCUUCCUCCUCUCCACUCCUUCCCUUUCUCCAUUCUCCUCUCCACUCCUUCCCUUCCUCCUUCCUCCUCUCCACUCCUUCCCUUCCUCCUUCCUCCUCUUCACUUCAUCCCUUCCACCUUCCUCCUCUCCAAUCCUUCCACCUUCCUCCUCUCCACUCCUUCCCUACCUCCUUCCCCCUCUCCACUCCUUCUCUCCCACCUUCCUCCUCUCCACUCCUUCCCUUUCACCUUCCUCAUCUCCACUCCUUCCCUUUCACCUUCCGCAUCUCCACUCCUUCCCUUUCCCCUCUCCACUCCUUCCCUUCCACUUUCCUCCUCUCCACUCCUUCACUUCCUCCUUCCUCCUCUCCAAUCUUUCCACCUUCCUCCUCUCCACUCCUUCCCUUCCACCUUCCUCCUCUCCAAUCCUUCCAGCUUCCUCCUCUCCACUACUUCACUUCCUCCAUUCUCCUCUCCACUCCUUCCCUUCCACCUUCCUCCUCUCCACUCCUUCCCUACCUCCUUCCUCCUCUCCACUCCUUCCCUUCUACCUUCCUCUCUCCACUCCUUCCCUUUCACCUUCCUCAUCUCCACUCCUUCCCUUCCCCCUCGCCACUCCUUCCCUUCCACCUUCCUGCUCUCCUCUCCACUCCUUCCCUUCCUACUUCCUUCUCUCCACUCCUUCCCUUCCACCUUCCUCCUCUCCACUCCUUCCCUUCCACCUUUCCCCUCUCCACUCCUUCCCUUCCAUCUUCCUCCUCUCCACACCUUCUCUUCAUCCUUCCCCCUCUCCACUCCUUCCCUUCCUCCAUUCUCCUCUCCACUACUUCCUUACCACCUUCCUCCUCUCCACUCCUUCCCUUCCACCUUCCUCCUCUCCAAUCCUUCCAGCUUCCUCCUCUCCACUACUUCACUUCCUCCAUUCUCCUCUCCACUCCUUCCCUUCCACCUUCCUCCUCUCCACUCCUUCCCUACCUCCUUCCCCCUCUCCACUCCUUCUCUCCCACCUUCCUCCUCUCCACUCCUUCCCUUCUUCCUUCCUCCUCUCCACACCUUCUCUUCCACCUUCCCCCUCUCCACUCCUUCCCUUCCACCUUCCUCCUCUCCACUCCUUCCACCUGCCUCCUCUCCACUCCUUCCCUUCCACCUUCCUCCUCUCCACUCCUUCCCUUCAUCCUUCCCCCUCUCCACUCCUUCCCUUCCACCUUCCUCCUCUCCACUCCUUCCACCUGCCUCCUCUCCACUCCUUCCCUUCCACCUUCCUCCUCUCCACUCCUUCCCUUCCACCUUCCCCUCUCCACUCCUUCCCUUCCAUCUUCAUCCUCUCCACACCUUCUCUUCCACUUUCCCCCUCUCCACUCCUUCCCUUCCACCUUCCUCCUCUCCACUCCUUCCACCUGCCUCCUCUCCACUCCUUCCCUUCCACCUUCCUCCUCUCCACUCCUUCCCUUCCACCUUUCCCCUCUCCACUCCUUCCCUUCCAUCUUCCUCCUCUCCACACCUUCUCUUCAUCCUUCCCCCUCUCCACACCUUCCCUUCCUCCAUUCUCCUCUCCACUCCUUCCCUACCCCCUUCCUUCUCUCAACUCCUUCCCUUCCACCUUCCUCCUCUCCACUCCUUCCACCUUCUUCCUCUCUACCUUCCCUUCCUCCUCUCCACUCCUUCCCUUCAUCCGUUCCACUCUUUCCCUUCCAACAACCUCCUCUCCUCUCCACUCCUUCCCUUCCUCCUCCCUCCUCUCUACCUUCCCUUCCUCCUCUCCAUUCCUUCCCUUCCUCCUUUCUCCACUCCUUCCCUCCACCUUCCUCCUCUCCACUCCUUCCCUUCCACAUUCCUACUCUCCACCCCUUCUCUACCCCCUCUCCACUCCUUCAAUUUCUCCUCUCCACUCCUUCUACCUUCCUUCCUCCUCUAAACUCCUUCCACCUUCCUUCUCUCCACUCUUUCCCUUCCUCCUUUCUCCUCUCUGCUCCUUCCCUUCCCCCUUCCUCCUCACCACUCCUUAUACCUUCCUUCCUCCUCUAA
ensembl:lncRNA